rnacentral:rRNA from 1 species
GCAAUAGACUUCAUACGAGGUGCUGCAUGGCUGUCGUCAGCUCGUGCCGUGAGGUGUUAGGUUAAGUCCUGCAACGAGCGCAACCCCUGUUUCCAGUUGCCAUCAAGUAAAGUUGGGGGACUCUGGAGAGACUGCCUGCGCAAGCAGAGAGGAAGGUGGGGAUGACGUCAAGUCAGCACGGCCCUUACGUCCAGGGCUACACACGUGCUACAAUGGCCGGUACAGAGGGCAGCGACCUGGUGACAGGUAGCGAAUCUCCAAAGCCGGUCUCAGUUCGGAUCGGAGUCUGCAACUCGACUCCGUGAAGCUGGAUUCGCUAGUAAUCGGAUAUCAGCAAUGAUCCGGUGAAUACGUUCCCGGGCCUU